UACGAAGGGGGCUAGCGUUGCUCGGAUUGACUGGGCUUAAAGGGCGCGUAGGCGGACUGUUUAGUCAGGCGUGAAAGUCCUGGGCUUAACCUGGGGACUGCGCUGGAUACGGGGUGUCUUGAGUGGGGAAGAGGGUGGUGGAAUUCCCAGUGUAGAGGUGAAAUUCGUAGAUAUUGGCAAGAACACCGGUGGCGAAGGCGGCGACCUGGUCCUUGACUGACGCUGAGGCGCGAAAGCGUGGGGAGCAAACAGG
rnacentral:rRNA from 1 species